rnacentral:rRNA from 1 species
GACGAACGCUGGCGGCGUGCCUAACACAUGCAAGUCGAACGGAGUAGAGAGCUUCGGUUUUCUACUUAGUGGCGAACGGGUGAGUAACGCGUGAGGAACCUGCCUCUCAGUGGGGGACAACAGUUGGAAACGACUGCUAAUACCGCAUAAUGUAGCGAGACCGCAUGGUCAUGCUACCAAAGAUUUAUUGCUGAAAGAUGGUCUCGCGUCUGAUUAGCUAGUUGGUGAGGUAACGGCUCACCAAGGCGACGAUCAGUAGCCGGUCUGAGAGGAUGAACGGCCACAUUGGGACUGAGAUACGGCCCAGACUCCUACGGGAGGCAGCAGUGGGGGAUAUUGCACAAUGGGCGAAAGCCUGAUGCAGCGACGCCGCGUGAGGGAAGACGGCCUCGGUU